rnacentral:rRNA from 1 species
CCCUAUGGGGUGCAGCAGGCGGGCAUAUAAGUCAGUGGUGAAAUCUCCCGGCUCAACUGGGAAACUGCCAUUGAUACUGUAUGUCUAGAGUGCAGAUGAGGUAGGCGGAAUGUGUCAUGUAGCGGUGAAAUGCUUAGAUAUGACACAGAACACCGAUUGCGAAGGCAGCUUACCAAACUGUUACUGACGCUCAUGCACGAAAGCGUGGGGAGCGAACA